rfam:Gossypium arboreum cultivar AKA8401 contig_17602_3, whole genome shotgun sequence.
UGUUAAAAUUUUUAUCUAUUUUUACUGUUAAAAAUUAGCGCAACAGAUGGAACAACCAGACAGUUGCACGUGGUGUACCAUAUGUACCUCAUAUUGAUGUAUAAGAACCAGUUUUUAAUAGUAGAAAUAGAUGAGAUUUUUAAUA